rnacentral:sRNA from 1 species
UGUGGAGUUUUCCUUUGCCUUCAGCGGCUGGAGGCAAACUGUUGGUACCAGGGAAGGGUGGUGAUGAAAGUUGCUUCAGGAAGGCGGCCUCCCUAGAGUCCAGUAACCCAAGGGGCUGGCUUUAAGGCGAGUCUGUGAACCCGAGUGUGAAGUCCCCGAGUCUGGGGUGUCUGACGGAGAGAGGGCAGUUUCCCACCCUAGACGUUCCGCUUUCUUAUAAUCCUGAGGAAAGAAUGACUUUUCUUUACGCUUCCUCUCCCUUCUGUAGGGGGUGCUGGAGUCAGACCUGCCAAGUGCCGUGACACUUCUGAAAAAUCUCCAGGAGCAAGUGAUGGCUGUAACUGCACAAGUGCAAUCACUGACACAAAAAGUUCAAGCUGGUGCCUAUCCUACAGAAAAGGUAAGAUGUACUCAAACAGUAAGCAUCCCCUGACUUAAUGUUCUCAGUAGUUCUUUCAUUGUAUGUUUAUUGUGUCUUAUAUAUCCUAAGUGCUCGAACUUCAAACAUAAAUAUGAUCCAGUUUCUGUGCUGAAGUCUAGAGGGAAGACAAAGCAAAGCAACAGAUGUAAGUAUUAAUAGUAGCAGUCACAUUACAGAGUUAU